AUUCCUCUUACAUGGAUAUACUUAUAGGGAUACACUUACAGAGAUCUCCGCUUACAUGAAUACGUUUACAUAGAUACGCUUACAUGAAUACGUUUACAUAGAUGUGUUUACAUGAAUACGUUUACGUAGAUAAUAUAUGAUGAGUUACUAUUACAUAUUAUAUGUGUAGAUACUGUUAUAUAGUUCUCCUUCUUAUCUUUACCUUGUGAUACAAUCACAUAAUCGACGAGAUAGAUUGGACUUUAUAUCCUAGUACCAAAGGAUACUUUGUGGGACUAACCAUUCCUAUAGCCACUGUUAGCUACAGAGGAUAAUGACACAUCUACUGAUGUCUACGGUUAAUACUUAUACUAGGAAGACAUUUAAGGAACUAACCAUUCCUUCCACCUGUUGUUAGCUACAGAGGAAAAUGAACAUCUACGGAUAUUCACGGUGAGAACAUUUCGGCAGUCGCGACGUCGUGUUUAUCCUAAUACCAAAGGAUAAUACUUAUAUGGCUAUAUUUUCCUUAUUACUUUUAUUUUGUGAUACAUUCACGUAAACGAUGAAGUAGACUAUAUAUAUUGUUAAUAUUAUUCAUAAAGGGGAAAACCAUCUUUGUUACAGCAAAACAUACAAGUCUUGGUAGAAGACUACUUUCAAAACAUUCAGGUCUUGGUAGAAGACUACUUUUUAUACUAGUAGAAAAUAUGGGAUUUUCUAGGAGUUUUCAAAACAUAUACAAACAAUUACAUUGAACGAUUUCAAAUGUUAUCAUCAAACUUAUACGAACAAUGACAUUAAAUACUUAUGAACUCACCAGCUUAAAUGCUGAUCUACGCUUUCAAAAUAACUUGUAUUCUCAGGUCACCAGUAGACAGGUACGAUGACCAGGUUUUGCAAAGACGGAGCAAUCAAGACUCAUAUUUUAUUUUCAUUACCUAUUGUAAUGUCUUAUUCUAUGAAAGAACACACAUGUAUUAAACUAUUACUAUUAAUGCAAUGGACGAUGUUGUUUCUUGUUUACUACUUUACAUUUUUUUGAUACAUACAUGACGUCCUCCGCCUCAGAACGUUUCCGCCAUUCCCGGUUUUGGGGUGUGACAGAUUGGUAUCAGAGCAUUGUUUAUAGUGAAUUGAGUAUAUCAACCCAUAAAAGAUAUACUAACUAUAACUACAAUGGGAUUAAAAUACUUUGAAUUAGAGUUUAUACUUCUGUAUAAUAAAAUAUUUAACUAAGUAUACGUUUCUGCAUUCAUACUAAAAUCGGUGUCACAACGACAAGAACAAAAGUAUUACGAUUGUUGAAUAUCACAAGUAAGCUUGGGGAUGUAUAGUCAGUCUUGGGAGUGGCAUAGCCUGAUCAACUAUGCUGGUCCGAGGAGUGAUUAGCAUAUGCCCAAGAAUGGUUGUGAUGUAGCAACAAUUCUAAAAACUUACCAACAUUACCACCUUGAGAACAUUAUAACAGAACCUAAGUUUAAAAUACCAUAGGGGUGUUUUGUGUUACCAUAAUUACUUACUUGAGAACUAAAAAGGACCUUCAUUACUAAGUUGAUAGUUGCUAAGUGGAUACACUCAGGCUAUAUGUACCUAGGAUGUUAUACACUUAGAAUCGGUGAAGUUUUUGCUUUACCCUUGUUCUUUGUGAAUUUGGAGUUAAGGUCACUUAUUUGAAAGCCUAUCCUGUAUUGAUUACAUAUGACUGGUAUGCACUUUACAAAUAGCGAUGUAACUAAUGAAGAUUUUCUAAUAAUUAUCUAGAUAGUUCGUCUAGUAAUUAUUUGCUUACCCCAAUUCUCGCGUAAAUAACAUAACUGGACUCCAUCCCCAUGACAACCCGUACCUUCCGAACAAAGGCAAUGUUGGAUGGUUUGAAGAAGAACUAGAGAGUGAUCAUCCAAUCCCUCUGAAUGAUCACCAUGCUGAAAAACUUUCGGAUGUUGAUAACUCCUAACCCAAGGUUGAGAACCUACCCCAGGCAGCUCCUGUUCCAAUUCCUAACCCUCGUCCGACUUUUGAUGGCCCGACGCCCCCUUGGGUAGAAUAUUUGGAGAUAGGGAAUGAAGAGCAAGAUCAACCUAUGUCAUUUGAGAGAGACCGAAGCUUCUACAACACAAGUGAAGGAAGCUCAGCAGACAGAAUUCUUCCAAUUCUACCUGCAGAGUUUCUCGAAACGAAAUUCAGGGUAGGACGGCUCUCCAACGUAUCUAAGAGGUUAAUGUCAAUGCCAGAAUGCAUACCAUUCGCACCAAUCGCCUUGAUCACAAGUGAGAGAUCCGAGAGAAACCAUGAGACCUUGCUGCAAGCACUAGCUGAAACCCGAGUCGAAAUCAUAGAGCUCCAAGUACGCCAUAAGGUGUACGAAAGAUGCCUGCUUGAUAUAGAACGUCAACUAGCUGAACUAAGGGUUUACCAUAAGGGUGAUCGUCGCCAGUAGUAAAUGCCUUACUUUAUUUUCCUUGUAAAAAGGAAUCAUUUUCUGUCUAUGCCCGAUGUCGCAUUUUCUAUGAAAUUAUCUUGUAAUGUAAGUACAUUUGGUUCGGCGUUUAUGAUGUCAAGAACUAUCUUCUAUGGAUAUGAUGUAAGACCUUUUACAAGGUCAUUUUCCCGAACUUUUACGUCAUGAAUAUCAAAGAUAUUGACAGUCAGCUAACUUCUGAGUCAUUCUUUAUUGAAGUACUCUUAUCAUACUUUCAUUGGAGUCUAUCUGAAACAUGUUUUAGUCAAGUCAUUGGACUAUAGUAAUUUAACUCCGGAAACAUUUCUAGGUCUCUUUUAGUGGUUGUAUCAUGUUAUUCACCAACCAACGAUACCUCGGCUUGAACGACAAGCGUCUUGAGACCAUUCUACGAACUUACUUCCACUCAUUACUAGGACUGCAUCAUAGGGAUGUAGGUCAAACAUUCGAGAACAUAGUCUUACUCAUUACUUGAACAAUCGAAGUACAUCUAGAGUCAACCAGAAUCCCCCACAAAAUCUUUAUCUUUCGUGUUACAGAAUCAUGUCGUCAUCCGGAAACAAUCAGCCGAACAACGAAACCCCUAUCCUCCAUAUCGACGCCGCUACAUUACAAGCUGCAGUAGCAGCUGCUGUGACAACUUUCUUUACACACAUCAACUCAGGCAACACAAGCAAGACCGACAAAGGAGUCGAGAGUUCCGAUGGUAGUACCAAACCGGGAAACCAACAAGUGGCAACUCCUGCAGAACGCUUUAGGAAGCAAUUUCCAAGAUAGUGUAAUGAGGAAGGCACUCGUGUCCACAUAACACUGGCUAAACACCUCACUCCCGCCACCAAGGCUAGCACUAGCCAGUCAUGCCACCAAUGCGGGGAGAUAGGACGCCUCAAGAAGGAUUGCCCUAUAUCAAAGAACUCUGGCACAGACGGUAGGAUUCUCAGGAUCACAAUUCAGGAGAACCUACUCCAAAACCCAUGUUAAUGUAAUUUAGGCGGUUCGUUGUAACAAACUUAUAAACCAUCCAAAAGUAGUGCAACCAGAGUCAUAUCUUUUGCGGGAUCCCGUCGGUAUAGGGAUGCUCGUGCUGCGUAUACUUGCCUUUUAUAGUAUACCUUAUUCGCAUCAAUAGUCUUGUAGUAGUCUAAAGUAUUGUAACUCUAUUGAUGGUUGCUCGGUUGUGUUUUGUCUGUAAAUGUCUUAUGUCCAAAUCUAAUGUCUUUAAAUUUCCUUAUGAUUCCGACAUUAUCAUACGACUUCAUUCAAUUCGAUUCUCACAAAAACAGCUUCAUACGUACAUCUCUUUCUUCGAAAUCGCCUUUCCAGCGAAGCCGUCAUAUCAGAACACCAAGUACUCAGGAAUGCAGUACCUCAUAGUUCUUUUCCUUUCCAAAGAAAUCCCUGAAGUGCCACUCGUAUAGUAUGUCAAGUUCAAAUCCAAAGAUCCAUACGGUUGAUCUGUCGCUGAUGACUGUAUACAUAGGGGUGAUAUAUAAUCAAAGUUCUAUAGGUUUAGAAUUGACGAUUCCACUUUAACUUCUUUUUCCUCGAUGGGAUGUGAGCUUAAAGAAAAAUCAGUUAUUUGACUACCAUUUCAAUCUUAAUUAUAUACGACUCGUAUACACGAGAUUGUGAUCGUUGAACCAUGUAUGAAUUCUAAUAUGAACUUUAGGACGAAGACUGCCCAAGACUACGAGUGAUCGUGCUGCCAUGCGAAUAAACUUAGAAGCCCAAUACAUGCCCUUUCUGUCGAUUGGGACAAGGAGACAGAUAGAACAAAAGUACCUAUCCUUUUUCCUUAAUUCAUGAGUAAUCAUACUUUCUUUUAGAUCUUCAUGACAUCUAAUCACCCACAAGGUUCUGGCAUCAUAAUCAGUAUGAAUUGGUUGUGUUCUUAUACAAGAGGAAAGGUCACUUCCUAUACCUCAAGACAACUUAACACACAGGAAGUUAACUAUACAACACAUGAUCUUGAGUAAGGAGCAGUGGUAAUUGCUAUGAAGAUCUGGAGACACUAGUUGUAGGGUACAAGAUGUACUAUUCUCACAGUCCACAAAAACAUUCAACAUACGUUCGACCAAGAAGAGUUAUCAUGCCAGUGAAGUCAAACGAAAGAAGCAAAGUCGUAUCCCGAUAGUGAAAGGUUCGUUGGAAUGCCAAGCGAGCAACCGAGUUCACUUAAGAACACUAGAAGCAAAUAAAACUUCUAACCGUAGCAUGGUUAUCAAUUCUGUUUAAACUCUAAUUUCGGGACGAAAUUCCCUCUAACGGGGGGAUGAUGUGACAACCCGAUAUUUCGAGACAAUAUGAUGGAUCACAAGUCAAAUUUACGUCAAAAUUUAACUUUCCUAAAAUCUUAUUUGGGUUAAAUAAAGUAGUAGGAAUCAUAUCAAGGUUUUCAUACAUAUAAAGAACCCUAGAAUCCGAGUUAUAACGAAGAAGUUAUGACCAACCAAAGAUUCUCGGCAAAACCGGCAACACUGAUAGACGUAAAACGCGAAGUUUCAAUACAAUAAUUUUUAGCCUUAGGUAUCUAAAUGAAAGUUUUAUAUAUCAUUAAACCGUAAAUGUACAUAAAAAGAACGUCCAAAUCUGACUUCAUAUGAGGAAGUUAUGAUUUUUCGAAGUUUCAGACAUAGUAGUAGACAACUAAAAACUCGAAAUCGAUAUUGAGCGGAUUUUUGCCAACAUGACCUAAACGAGAAUCGAAGAUCUCAUCAAUGGUAUAUCAACAGUAAAAAAUCUGGCGAAAAAAGACAGCGGAUGAAGGAGAUAUGAAAUUUUAAUGGACUUUUCCUGUCCCGGCCUAUUAAAAAUAUAAUAUUAAAAAUAAAUUCAAAAUUUGCCGACGGAGUCUAAACGAAAGUUGUAGAUCGUAGUCUCACCUACGCUUGGAUAUAAAGAACGUCGAAAACGGAGUUCGUAUGAGGAAGAUAUGAAUUUUUGAAGUUUAUUAAUAAUUAGAAUAUUUAAUUUAAUUAUAAAUACCCGAUAUUAUCCAUUGAAGGAGGAGUCACCGGUCUGAUCCGGAUUACGCCCAGCGUAAUACCUUGGUACGCCCAGCGUAAUCCAAGGAUUCAGACCCUAUAUAAAGGGUGCGAUGAUGCCGGCCAUUUUUCCUCCUUUCCUUCCUUUCUCGCGCCGAAGCUCUGCGUUUCAACCGCCAGAGUCAUCCCAAAGGCCCAGUUUUCAUAUCCAAGUUGGGAAGGAUGUUUUACGCUCCCGAGAUUCCCGAGAUUCCCGAGGAAUCCGCUUGCUUGGGUAGAAGUUCUGUUCGUUUUUCGUCUCGCUUUUCUUCAAUCUAUCAAGUGAGUUCAUACCCCUAUGAUCCACACUUUUAAAUGUUUUAUAAAUGUUUUUAUAUGCUUUUAAGGGGGGGAACACAAGUAAAACACACGAUAAUUUUCGUGUGUUAUAUAAAGUUUCAUUAUACACUUUUUAUGAAUGGAAUCAUAUGUGAUUUAUAACUAUUAUAAGGAAACUUUCAUAUGCAAAAUGUAUCACGAUAACAUCAUAUCUUUUGAAAUGAAAAAGGUUGUUAUAUAUGUAUAAAUCAAACACUCUGCUUAUACUGUAUGUUUAUGUGUCCAUCUUAGACACUAUAAAAAUUAUACUUUUCAUAACAAGUGAACAUUUUACUAGGGAUUACUAUACAAACGAGACACACUUAAAGAAAACUAUAAUAGGUAUAGUUUUACGAGAACAUCACGAACUUUUACUUACUAGAAAUACUAUUUCAAGGAGAUACAUUCAUAUACCAGAACAAACGAACAUUUUCAUAUGUACUUCAAAUAGUUUUCUCAAACGUUUUUACAUGUUGAAAUACCUUUAGAAACUGUCUUACAAACUGUAGUUUUCCUUUUUGAAUCUCUUAUAGUUGUGCUUCAAACAAAGGUUUUCUCACACUUAAACUGUGUUGUCAAACGGUUUUCGAUUUGAUUUAUAAAGUGACAUCAAGUCAUAAAUUCUUAUCUACUAAACUUUUCAAAGGUUUUACAAAACUUCUUUUAUGCUUUUAUAUUAUAAAUUGCAUGCCUCUAUAUGUAUAGUUAUAUAAGAAAUGUUUAAAAGACUUAGGAAGGCUAUCCACCCUGUUUCCUUUUCCUCGAUUUGGAUGUGGUCUGAUGGGAUAUUGGGUACUCGUCCGAAAGUCGUUUAAAUAUUAGUUAUAUAUCAUAUGUACAUAUAUAGUCUUAAAUGUUCCAUCAGUCAGUUCAAUUCCGACACUCUUGGGUAGCAAGAGUGUAUAAACCUACUUGGACACUCAUCAAUUACAUUCUAGUAAACUAUUAUAGGAAUAGUUUAGGGGAUACAAAACAUUAUUCUUAUUACAAGAAAUUACACCAGAGUCAGUUCAUUCAUGAGUCUAGACUACAUGCUAUAUGAAGGGAUACUCUUACAGAGAUUCCUCUUACAUGGAUAUACUUAUAGGGAUACUCUUACAGAGAUCUCCGCUUACAUGAAUACGUUUACAUAGAUACGCUUACAUGAAUACGUUUACAUAGAUGCGUUUACAUGAAUACGUUUACGUAGAUAAUAUAUGAUGAGUUACUAUUACAUAUUAUAUGUGUAGAUACUGUUAUAUAGUUCUCCUUCUUAUCUUUACCUUGUGAUACAAUCACAUAAUCGACGAGAUAGAUUGGACUUUAUAUCCUAGUACCAAAGGAUACUUUGUGGGACUAACCAUUCCUAUAGCCACUGUUAGCUACAGAGGAUAAUGACACAUCUCCUGAUGUCUACGGUUAAUACUUAUACUAGGAAGACAUUUAAGGAACUAACCAUUCCUUCCACCUGCUGUUAUCUAUAGAGGAAAAUGAACAUCUAUGGAUAUUCACAGUGAGAACGUUUCGGCAGUCGCGAUGUCGUGUUUAUCCUAAUACCAAAGGAUAAUACUUAUAUAGCUAUAUUUUCCCUAUUACUUUUAUUUUGUGAUACAUUCACGUAAACGAUGAAGUAGACUAUAUAUAUUGUUAAU
rnacentral:lncRNA from 1 species